AAAGACCUAUAGGACUUUCUCCUACAUCAU
rnacentral:tRNA from 7 species